AUGAACGCUGGCGGCGUGCCUAAUACAUGCAAGUCGAGCGAACAGACGAGGAGCUUGCUCCUCUGACGUUAGCGGCGGACGGGUGAGUAACACGUGGAUAACCUACCUAUAAGACUGGGAUAACUUCGGGAAACCGGAGCUAAUACCGGAUAAUAUAUUGAACCGCAUGGUUCAAUAGUGAAAGACGGUUUUGCUGUCACUUAUAGAUGGAUCCGCGCCGCAUUAGCUAGUUGGUAAGGUAACGGCUUACCAAGGCAACGAUGCGUAGCCGACCUGAGAGGGUGACCGGCCACACUGGAACUGAGACACGGUCCAGACUCCUACGGGAGGCAGCAGUAGGGAAUCUUCCGCAAUGGGCGAAAGCUUGACGGAGCAACGCCGCGUGAGUGAUGAAGGUCUUCGGAUCGUAAAACUCUGUUAUUAGGGAAGAACAAAUGUGUAAGUAACUAUGCACGUCUUGACGGUACCUAAUCAGAAAGCCACGGCUAACUACGUG
rnacentral:rRNA from 1 species